GGGGUUGUAGCUCAGUGGUAGAGUGCUUUCCUAGCAUGUGUGAGGCACUGGGUUUGAUUCUCAGCACCCCCA
rnacentral:tRNA from 1 species